GCGUGGCUGGAGAAAAACGCGUGGCUGGAGAAAAACUCGUGGCUGGAGAAAAAUAUUUAAAAAUGGAUAAGAUAAUAAAAGAUAAGGAUGAUAAAAUUAUGAAGCUGCAGGCUCAAUUUUUUCAACAGCACAGAAUCUUAGAUGACAACAAAACUAAGGAUGCUCAAACUUUGUGUCUACAAGCUCAGUUACUGGAAAAUAACAAAUUAGAACUGGACACUUUCAAAACAGUGAAGGAGGUUUUCCAAACUCAUCCCUAACUGAACGUGAGGAUGAGUUGGCAUUAGGCAAACACAGUCAGUUAUUCAGUCCACCACCUGACAGUGUGUUAAAUUUAAAUUCUGUUAGUGCUGCACUAAAAGAAUUGUUAGUAAUAAGUCCAUGCAGCAAAGGAACUGAAGAAUUGUGGGACUGUAUUUGGGCCGAAAAUGGGUGUGGUAUGGAAACACAGAAAUGGCACGAGUUCAACAUAAAGCAUGGAUUAGAAUUUUAGCAGGGGAUCAAGUGAAGUCUGGAAGUGUAACAGGAUGGAAGAGUGAGCCUACAGUUUAAAAAACACUGAGAGUGCAUUACCAUUAAGGUAUGAGGUAAAGUAAUAGUGUAUGCAAAUUGUCUAAUGAGAAGUACCAUCUUGUGUGAAUGAAUCCUGAUAACAGCAAUCCUUUAUAGUUCUGUCACAGCUAGAAGCCUCAAAUAAUUCUGCCUCUCUUGCUAAAGAACAACUUGUCCUUUACAUUCACAG